UUUGCUGAUUCCGGUUGUUCUCUUAAAGCUGCAGUGUGUGAAAGACGCGCUUAAAUAUCGCAGUAUCGAAUCUUUUAGAUAGACGUGCAUGAUCAUGAAGGAAGUGUCAGAUGUACUACGGUUCAAAGAGUAUGUUGAAAGACUAACACUCGGGAUUGCACGGGUACUGGAGAGGCUCCCUGGCGUGACGGAUGUGAGUUUUGUGGAGAGGGCGCCUGCCGAGAAGCGCUGCCUUCUGUCGUGGGAACAGAAAAAUAUGUGUGUUCUUCCUGAGGACUUGAAAGACUUCUAUCUCACUACAGAUGGUUUCACCCUCUCCUGGAGCUCGAAAUUGGAAGGUGAGGCAGUUCCCAUUGGUUCUAUGGUCAUCAACUGUGUGGCAAAACUUUGCCCACUAACCCAGUCUGCAGUUUUCUCGCUUCCAUACGCUCCUACACUGGCUGACCUGGACUGUGAUGAAGAAACAGAAGCGUCUGAGAACCACCCCAAAGUGCCCCACUUUGACUCCCGUAGCCGAAUUUUUGAGCUAGAUCCAUGCAGUGGUAAUGGCAAGGUCUGCCUCGUCUACAAGAACUGCACCCCAGUUAUUUUCUCUCUUAUCUCCUGCAUUGAUCGCUACUUGUUCAGAAGUACCUCAAGUCAGUUGAUUGAAGUCCAGCGGCAGGUCUCACAGCAAAUUUCUCAGGAUAUCAGUACCCCUGGCACUGAGGAGGCAGGACUGGGCACCGAGUUGGGGGAUCUUGAAAGUCAGGUAUGGUGGCUGAGCAGAGUGAGCUGUGGUUCCUGGACCGUUCACUCUACUGGCAUUAUGUGACCUCUUCCUUCACAUCCUACUACCGGCUCAUGAUCAGCCACCUGGGGCUUCCAGAGUGGCAGUACAGUUUUACAUCAUAUGGACCCAGCCCCCAGGCCAAGCAGUGGGCCUGUCUGUACCAACCCUUCACAUUUCAGUGUGACUCACACAUUAAGACAUCUGGGGACCUGGUAUUAAACAAGCUAGACCCUAGCAGGGCCUUCCAGGGUAAGAUGAAGCAACAAGUGCAAAAGAAGAAGACUCCUGUCCAGAGUGGAGGGUGCGGUGGUGGCGGCGGUGGCGGUGGUGGAACCGGAGGAAUCCAGAAGGGUUCUGGAAGGCACACUGGGAUCAAACGUUGAAGGAGUCCCUCCCUGGGAUGAUGCUGCUGUACAGUUCUUGAGUUGUCUGUCCUUCUACUCUUAAUAUACACUCUUCAAAGUAAUUUUUUCUGUGAAAGUACAAGCUGCAGGUUUAUACUAUCUGCAGCUUAUUAUAACCGUAUUUAUUAUGCACAGAUAAUUUAUUUAGCAUGUUUUAUAAGCACAACCUUAAAUCUGAUUUCGGGCCUCCACACAAAUCUGACCAUAAAACAGAAACACAUUUUAUGUGCAGAACUAGUGUUCUUUUUAGAAUGGAAAAAGGAAA